AGCUGCCAAGACUCAGAAAAAGGCAAGGGCUAGAAGUGAUUUGAGUUUGACAAGGAUGCGCCUCUUGAAGAUGAGGAAAUUGAAGUGGCUGAAGAUGAUGCUUCCUUGGUCAAGCAAAUUGGCCAGAGUUUCUAGUAUUCUAAAAUAGAGGCAAGAAGGGAAGAACAAAUCCAAGCUGCUCAUGACGAAGCCAUGUUUGGUGCUUCAGCACUUCCACCUCCUACCAGUACUGACAGUGAGCCUGAAAGGGAGAAUGAGAAAGAAGUUGAUAAAAAAGCUGUUGUUACAAGCCUCUUAAGUGAAACAGAGUGCUGAAAUGGUGACCAUAUGCUACCUUGAGGGCUCAAGAAUGUUUUGAUGCAUAGAGACACUAAUCUAUGUUAGAACUUUUAUGUUUUGGUUGAACUAAUCAAUGUACUCACUAGCUAAUGUUAUUUUGUUUCAAGACAAUUUUAGCUAAA